UACAGAGGUCCCAAGCGUUGUUCGGAUUUACUGGGCGUAAAGGGUGCGUAGGUGGUAAGACAAGUCUGAUGUGAAAUCUCCGAGCUUAACUCGGAAAUGGCAUUGGAAACUGUUUAACUAGAGGGUUUGAGGGGGGACUGGAAUACUUGGUGUAGCAGUGAAAUGCGUAGAUAUCAAGUGGAACACCAGUGGCGAAGGCGAGUCCCUGGAAAAUACCUGACACUGAGGCACGAAAGCUAGGGGAGCAAACAGG
rnacentral:rRNA from 1 species